UGCCUAAGACUCCUACCACUGACUCUACUUCUCUGAGUGACAGUGCCAAAUCUAGUUCCACAGAAACAUUGUCAGGAAAAACAACAACAUCAAAUGCCACAAAGGAAACCGUAUCUAAGGAGACUCCGGUAGAGCAACCCCAAGAGGAUGUUGUAGAGCUACCUGCCUCAUCAAUCUCAGGUUCACAAAAGAAUUCUGUAAUUUCAGAUAGUUUUGAUAAUGACAUGUAUAAGCCACUAGGCAGGCCCUUAUACACCAAGAUUAUUCUGUUUCCUGUUGGGUAUGGAACCAGUUCUUAAUUUUUGUUGCCUAACAUUUGUGACCUGAAAGUUGCUUGCUUGGGCCAGCAGCUUUUCUUAAAUUUGUUGCCUGACAUUUGUGAUCUGAAAGUUGCUUGCUGGGGCCAGCAGCUUUUCUUAAUUUUUGUUGCCUGACAUUUGUGAUCUGAAAGUUGCUUGCUGGGGCUAGCAGCUUUUCUUGUUUGGAACAUGAAAGACU